GGUGAACGCUGGCGGCGUGCUUAAGACAUGCAAGUCGAACGGCAGUCUUCGGACUGUAGUGGCGCACGGGUGAGUAACGCGUAACUGACCUACCCCAAAGUCGCGGAUAACGAUUCGAAAGAAUCGCUAAUACGUGAUGUGCUGUCAGAUUGUGUUCUGCCAGUAAAGAUUGAUUGCUUUGGGAUGGGGUUGCGUUCCAUCAGCUAGUUGGUGGGGUAAAGGCCCACCAAGGCGACGACGGAUAGCCGGCCUGAGAGGGUGGCCGGCCACAGGGGCACUGAGACACGGGUCCCACUCCUACGGGAGGCAGCAGUUAGGAAUCUUCCACAAUGGGCGAAAGCCUGAUGGAGCGACGCCGCGUGAGGGAUGAAGGUCUUCGGAUCGUAAACCUCCGAAUCAGGGACGAAAGACACUUCGGUGGGAUGACGGUACCUGAGUAAUAGCACCGGCUAACUCCGUGCCAGCAGCCGCCGUAAGAC
rnacentral:rRNA from 1 species